UCCCUGGUGGUCCAGUGGGUAGGACUCCACACUUUCACUGUCAAGGGCCUGGGUUCAAUCCUUGGUCAGGGAA
rnacentral:tRNA from 1 species